rnacentral:rRNA from 1 species
AUUGAACGCUGGCGGCAUGCCUUACACAUGCAAGUCGAACGGUAACAGGUCUUCGGAUGCUGACGAGUGGCGAACGGGUGAGUAAUACAUCGGAACGUGCCCGAUCGUGGGGGAUAACGAAGCGAAAGCUUUGCUAAUACCGCAUAAGAUCUACGGAUGAAAGCAGGGGACCGCAAGGCCUUGCGCGAACGGAGCGGCCGAUGGCAGAUUAGGUAGUUGGUGGGAUAAAAGCUUACCAAGCCGACGAUCUGUAGCUGGUCUGAGAGGACGACCAGCCACACUGGGACUGAGACACGGCCCAGACUCCUACGGGAGGCAGCAGUGGGGAAUUUUGGACAAUGGGCGAAAGCCUGAUCCAGCCACGCCGCGUGCAGGAUGAAGGCCUUCGGGUUGUAAACUGCUUUUGUACGGAACGAAAAGACUCUGGUUAAUACCUGGGGUCCAUGACGGUACCGUAAGAAUAAGCACCGGCUAACUACGUG